rnacentral:rRNA from 1 species
CAGCAGCCGCGGUAAUACGUAGGUGGCAAGCGUUGUCCGGAAUUAUUGGGCGUAAAGGGCCCGCAGGCGGUUUCUUAAGUCUGAUGUGAAAGCCCCCGGCUCAACCGGGGAGGGUCAUUGGAAACUGGGAAACUUGAGUGCAGAAGAGGAGAGUGGAAUUCCACGUGUAGCGGUGAAAUGCGUAGAGAUGUGGAGGAACACCAGUGGCGAAGGCGACUCUCUGGUCUGUAACUGACGCUGAGGAGCGAAAGCGUGGGGAGCGAACAGGAUUAGAUACCCGUGUAGUCCCUGUCUCUUAUAC